UACGUAGGGGGCUAGCGUUGUCCGGAAUCAUUGGGCGUAAAGCGCGCGUAGGCGGCCCGGUAAGUCCGCUGUAAAAGUCCAGGGCUCAACCCUGGGCGUGCGGUGGAUACUGCCGGGCUAGAGGGUGGUAGAGGCGAGUGGAAUUCCCGGUGUAGCGGUGAAAUGCGCAGAUAUCGGGAGGAACACCAGUAGCGAAGGCGGCUCGCUGGGCCAUUCCUGACGCUGAGACGCGAAAAGCUAGGGGGAGCGAAACAGG
rnacentral:rRNA from 1 species